UCCACAUUAGAAAACAUGCAUGUAUAAAAUGUCUAUUCAAUGUACGGUCAUCAUUUAAACUACUCGUGUGUUCUGUAAGACAUACAUCAUUGUUUACUGAGCCGAUUAAAAUGAUGAUCGCAUUUUUUCUACUUCUGGUGUGUAUGGCAAAUCUCUUUGUUGUAACCGACAGUUGUUGCGUUACGGAUGAAUACUGUUCAACCCAUAAAGAUUGUUGCUCAUCAAGAGCUUGCAACAGCUUUUCAGACGGAAAAAAAAGAUGUGUUACCAAUCGUAGAAAAUAAAAGAACACAAAAUGAAUAAAAUAAACUUCUAGAAAAAAUAAACAUCUGACAUUGACAAUGUUUUUAAAGUUAUUUUUUU